rnacentral:rRNA from 1 species
GACGAACGCUGGCGGCGUGCCUAAUACAUGCAAGUCGAGCGGACGGAUGGGAGCUUGCUCCCAGACCGUCAGCGGCGGACGGGUGAGUAACACGUGGGCAACCUGCCUGUAAGACUGGGAUAACUCCGGGAAACCGGGGCUAAUACCGGAUAACUCUUUCCCUCACAUGAGGGGAAGCUGAAAGAUGGCAUCUCGCUAUCACUUACAGAUGGGCCCGCGGCGCAUUAGCUAGUUGGUGAGGUAACGGCUCACCAAGGCGACGAUGCGUAGCCGACCUGAGAGGGUGAUCGGCCACACUGGGACUGAGACACGGCCCAGACUCCUACGGGAGGCAGCAGUAGGGAAUCUUCCGCAAUGGACGAAAGUCUGACGGAGCAACGCCGCGUGAGUGAUGAAGGUUUUCGGAUCGUAAAACUCUGUUGUCAGGGAAGAACAAGUACCGGAGUAACUGCCGGUACCUUGACGGUACCUGACCAGAAAGCCACGGCUAACUACGUG